rnacentral:tRNA from 1 species
GCCCCGGUGGCGGAAUCGGUAGACGCAACGGACUUAAAAUCCGUCGCAUGGUGACAUGCGUGCCAGUUCAAGUCUGGCUCGGGGCA